rnacentral:rRNA from 1 species
GCUCUAUAACCCUUUGUGAACAUACCUAUAACUGUUGCUUCGGCGGGUAGGGUCUCCGUGACCCUCCCGGCCUCCCGCCCCCGGGCGGGUCGGCGCCCGCCGGAGGAUAACCAAACUCUGAUUUAACGACGUUUCUUCUGAGUGGUACAAGCAAAUAAUCAAAACUUUUAACAACGGAUCUCUUGGUUCUGGCAUCGAUGAAGAACGCAGCGAAAUGCGAUAAGUAAUGUGAAUUGCAGAAUUCAGUGAAUCAUCGAAUCUUUGAACGCACAUUGCGCCCGCCAGCAUUCUGGCGGGCAUGCCUGUUCGAGCGUCAUUUCAACCCUCAAGCUCUGCUUGGUGUUGGGGCCCUACAGCUGAUGUAGGCCCUCAAAGGUAGUGGCGGACCCUCCCGGAGCCUCCUUUGCGUAGUAACUUUACGUCUCGCACUGGGAUCCGGAGGGACUCUUGCCGUAAAACCCCCAAUUUUCCAAAGGUUGACCUCGGAUCAGGUAGGAAUACCCGCUGAACUUAAGCAUAUCAAUAAGCGGAGGAAAAGAAACCAACAGGGAUUGCCUCAGUAACGGCGAGUGAAGCGGCAACAGCUCAAAUUUGAAAUCUGGCCCUAGGCCCGAGUUGUAAUUUGCAGAGGAUGCUUUUGGUGCGGUGCCUUCCAAGUUCCCUAGAACGGGACGCCAGAGAGGGUGAGAGCCCCGUACAGUUGGACACCAAGCCUUUGUAAAGCUCCUUCGACGAGUCGAGUAGUUUGGGAAUGCUGCUCAAAAUGGGAGGUAUAUUUCUUCUAAAGCUAAAUACCGGCCAGAGACCGAUAGCGCACAAGUAGAGUGAUCGAAAGAUGAAAAGCACUUUGAAAAGAGGGUUAAACAGCACGUGAAAUUGUUAAAAGGGAAGCGCUUGUGACCAGACUUGCGUCCGGUGAAUCACCCAGCUCUCGCGGCUGGGGCACUUCGCCGGCUCAGGCCAGCAUCAGCUCGCUGUCGGGGACAAAAGCUUCAGGAACGUAGCUCUCUUCGGGGAGUGUUAUAGCCUGUUGCAUAAUACCCUUCGGCGGGCUGA